GACGAACGCUGGCGGCGUGCUUAACACAUGCAAGUCGAACGGAAAGGCCCUGCUUUUGUGGGGUGCUCGAGUGGCGAACGGGUGAGUAACACGUGAGUAACCUGCCCUUGACUUUGGGAUAACUUCAGGAAACUUGGGCUCAUACCGGAUAGGAGCUCCUGCUUCAUGGUGGGGGUUGGAAAGUUUCGGCGGUUGGGGAUGGACUCGCGGCUUAUCAGCUUGUUGGUGGGGUAGUGGCUUACCAAGGCUUUGACGGGUAGCCGGCCUGAGAGGGUGACCGGCGACAUGGGGACUGAGAUACGGCCCAGACGGCUACGGGAGGCAGCGGUGGGGAGUAUUGCACAAUGGGCGGAAGCCAGAUGCAGAAACGCCGCGUGCGGGAUGACGGCCUGCGGGUUGUAAACCGCUUUCGCCUGUGACGAAGCGUGAGUGACGGUAAUGGGUAAAGAAGCACCGGCUAACUACGUG
rnacentral:rRNA from 1 species